AGGUUUUGGUGUGGGAUAAGGCCAUGGUAGCUUGGGGGGUUGGUGAUCAUGCUGAAUUUUUGCAUUGUUUGACUUGACAAUAACAUGUAGUCAUGGUAUAGUCUCCACUUUGAACUAAAGUUGGACUUUGUUUCUGCUCUGUAUUUGAUGAUAUGAAUAUUCAAUGAUCUAUUGUCUAUUGGGGCGUGUGGAAUUGUUAAUUAGUAUUCUCUGUGUUGGGAGGUUUUGAACUUGCAAAUUAACUGUUCUCAUUUACUCAUUGGUGGUUAGUUU
rnacentral:lncRNA from 1 species